rnacentral:rRNA from 1 species
GACGUAGGGCGCGAGCGUUGUCCGGAUUUACUGGGCGUAAAGGGCGCGUAGGCGGUCGUGACAAGUCACUUGUGAAAUCUCCGGGCUUAACUCGGAACGGUCAAGUGAUACUGUCGGACUAGAGUACAGAAGGGGCAACUGGAAUUCUCGGUGUAGCGGUGAAAUGCGUAGAUAUCGAGAGGAACACCUGCGGCGAAGGCGGGUUGCUGGGCUGAUACUGACGCUGAGGCGCGAAAGCUAGGGGAGCGAACGGG